UUCGCAAUGCCCGAAAGGGUGACGAAGCGACGCCGCGUGCGGGAAGAAGGCCUUCGGGUUGUAAACCGCUGUCGGGAGUUAGGAAGUGCAAGGAUGUUAAUAGCGUUCUUGCUUGACUAAGGCUCCGGAGGAAGCCACGGCUAACUCUGUGCCAGCAGCCGCGGUAAUACAGAGGCGGCAAGCGUUGUUCGGAAUUAUUGGGCGUAAAGAGCACGUAGGCGGCUGUGUAAGUCGGUUGUGAAAGCCUUCCGCUCAACGGGAGAACAGCAUCCGAUACUGCAUGGCUUGAGUGUGGGAGGGGAGAGUGGAACUUCUGGUGGAGCGGUGAAAUGCGUAGAUAUCAGAAGGAACGCCGGCGGCGAAAGCGGCUCUCUGGCCCAUAACUGACGCUGAGUGUGCGAAAGCUAGGGGAGCAAACGGGAUUAGAUACCCCGGUAGUCCUAGCCGUAAACGAUGGGCACUAAGUAGAGGGGUUUU
rnacentral:rRNA from 1 species